AAAAGAAUGAUAAUUAAAAAUGAUGUGAUCGAAAUCUUUUUUGAAAAUGUUCAAAAGUGUAACGAGCCGGGUGAAGAACCAAUUCAAAAGGUACUUAAUGGAACUCACGCCGUGCUAGCAUCAAGACAGAAAAUUAAAUUAAGCAUGAACGAAAGGGAAAAAGAGAACGUCUUCAUCUCAGAAGAUAUACUUUUUACGAAAUUCCAGUUUAUACAAAUGAAUUUAGCCAAAGUAAAUUAUGCUGUUAAUGUAGCUAAAACAUAUUAACAAAGAUUCUGAGUGAAGUGUUAAUGAAGUUAAGGAUACAUCCUGAAUGUUAAUAAAGAUAUUCUCAGAAAUUGUAAAUUCGUUAGAACUAUAAUGUCGAUCAAGAAGACUUUUUCUGUUUCCUAACGGACGUAGACCUGAUGAAUUGAUGCUCGUAACAACAGUUAAAACAUUUCUGAGAGAUGCAUGUCCCCUAUUAACAUCAGGCACCAUAACUAAAACAUUCGAACCAAUUUUAACCGAAGAAAAUUUUGAGUUAGAUAGUAAAAUCAUUUUAUAUGCCUGUUUCUCUAGUCCGGAUUUAAGCUCUUCUCCAGCAAUGAUUCUGUUUUUUCUUAACCAUAGCUUACAAGUAACGUUUGAAGGAAAUCCCUCAUUCAAGUUGCUUUCCCCAGAGAUAACGUGAGCAUAUUCUUGAAACUAAACAUGAACGCCUUACGGUCUUCCUUAAUAAUUACCAUAAUGCGCAGUGAUCAAAUUUCAUAUAAGCUACGCGGUUUUAUGAAUUAGCCAAAACGCUUUGUGGUUCGUUUUUUUCGCUCAAUAAACGUGUUUGCUCUUUGACCCUAACAUAUGUAAUAGAUCAAAACACCACACAGUUUCACAUCUAUUCGCUAACAUAAGAAUUUAUUUUUGCGUAAGUAGGAACUAAAAAACCGUUUUUAUUUUUAUACUGAAAUAAAAUUAUAUAAUCAUUAAAUUACACUAUAGUAUGAAAUAAACGAAAUUCAAAAUUUAUAUUUGAUAUUCUCAGUUUUUAUUGGCGAUUGUUCAAGUGUCGGACAUCUAGAUUAAGGUAGAUUUUGAAUAAUUUAACUAAUAUCGCUCUAAUAUAUAAGUCUAGUAACUUUCUCAACAUGUACAGAACUUUCAUAGUAUAUAUUUAUAUUUAACAGGGUAAAUCGUAUUGAACAAAGUGGAUUAUCUGAAAAAAUCCAUAGAGAUAUGCGUGAUGAAAAAACAAGAAGCGACCUCUUCUACAAUGAUCAUACAAUUGAUACUAGUAAUGAAGAACCUCUGGAAAUGGAUGAUAUUAUGGGUCUACUCUAUUUAUUAGUUACAGGAUAUUUGAUCUCUUCUGUAGUAUUUCUUACAGAAAUUCUAGUAAACAAGAUAAAAAAAAAACUUGAAAGGAAAACUGCAGAAUGAGGCCUUUCGAUAUUGUUAAUUAAUAUUUUAUCACAUUUGAAAACAUAGGUAAUAACUUAUGUAAUAAGUCUGUAUUUGUAAGAGAAGUUGCUUGUGUUCAUUAGUUCAUUUAUUAUAACAUACCUUUCUGAACAACACGUUUAUAAAUUGUGAUAAAUUAGAGUUUCAGCAAUUGACACUUAAGUGUUUUAUUUGUUUGUAUGUAAAUUAAUAAUCGAAAGCAAUAAAAGUUACAGCCGAAUGCAAAUGUUAAAUUGUUAAUAAAAUCCAUAUAAAAUAUACAAGUAUACAAAAGAACAUUGUUUCAAAGUAAACAUUCGAAAAUAAUUCAAAUUAAUUUAUGGUACAAGACGUGUUAUAUUACUGUUAUGAUAAGCACGGUGUCCAGAUUUCGUUUGCUCAAUGUUCACAUUACAGUGACUUCACUUGAUUUCUGCUUGACAAAAAAUGCACGUGGUAGUGCAUAAUUCCUUUAUCAUGCUGAUGUUUACUAUGGGUAUGGUUUCUCCAAUUUGCAUUUCUAAUUCGGGCGUGUAACGUAAAAGAUGCGGCAUAAAAUCUCUUUUGUUAAUAUAAUUACAUCAGUUUAAAUGCGGUUAAAUUAGUUAGCGAGGCCACAUCAUGAAACCAUUAUAGUCAUAUAGCCCGUUGUGUAUCAUGUGAUUACGGUUUUUGAACUGUGUUUUUCAAUCUUUUAGAUGAAUUACCUUAUUAACCAUUUUGAAAAAGCUCUUCUGCAUUUAUUUUAAACAAAGCACAUACAUGUAAUUUCUUUAAAUAUACUUAUCAGAAAUCUAAA